rnacentral:lncRNA from 1 species
AGAAAAUGGAGUCCGGAAGGCACACGAGGUGCUCACGAGGUAGGGGGGCGCGCCCAGGGGGUAGGGCGCGCCCACCACCCUCGUGGGGCCCUUGUGUCCUUCCCGGACUGCUACUUAUUUUUCUAUUUUUCUAAAUAUUCCAAAACGGAGAAAUAUUGCCUUAAAAAUUGUUUUGGAGUCGGUUUACUUACCGUACCACAUACCUAUUCCUUUUCGGAGUCUGAAACGUUCCGGAAAGUGUCCCUUAUGUAUUCCUCUGGGGUUACGGUUUCAAUAAUAUUGGUUUCAACAUUUAUGGGAUUACCUGAGAUAUAAUGUUUAAUUCUUUGACCGUUUACCACCUUCAGAUUUGUGCCCUCGAAGUUGUUGAUUUUUAUGGCACCGGAACGAUAGACCUCUUCGAUAACAUAGGGGCCUUCCCAUUUAGAGAGAAGUUUUCCUGCAAAAAAUCUUAAACGAGAGCUGUAUAGCAAUACAUAAUCACCUACAUUAAACUCACGCUUUUGUAUCCUUUUGUCAUGCCAUCUUUUAACUUUUUCUUUAAACAACUUGGCAUUUUCAUAAGCUUGGGUUCUCCAUUCAUCAAGUGAGCUAAUAUCAAAUAACCUCUUCUCACCGGCAAGUUUAAAAUCAUAGUUAAGCUCUUUAAUAGCCCAAUAUGCCUUAUGUUCUAGUUCGAGAGGUAAGUGACAUGCUUUUCCAUAAACCAUUUUAUAUGGAGACAUACCCAAAGGAUUUUUGUGUGGAGUUCUAUAAGCCCAUAAUGCAUCAUCAAGUUUCUUAGACCAAUUCUUUCUAGACCUAUUAACAGUCUUUUGCAAAAUUAAUUUGAGCUCUCUAUUGCUCAACUCUACUUGACCACUAGACUGUGGGUGAUAAGGAGAUGCAAUUCUAUGAUUAACAUCAUAUUUAGCAAGCAUUUUACGGAAAGCACCAUGAAUAAAGUGUGAACCACCAUCAGUCAUUAAAUAUCUAGGGACUCCAAACCUCGGAAAAAUAACUUCCUUAAGCAUUUUAAUAGAAGUGUUAUGAUCAUCACAACUAGUUGGAAUAUCUUCUACCCACUUAGUGACGUAAUCAACAACAACUAAAAUAUGUGUGUAUCCAUUAGAGGCAGGAAAAGGUCCCAUAUAAUCAAAGCCCCAAACAUCAAACAGUUCAAUUACAAGAGAAUAAUUCAUAGGCAUUUCUUGACGUCUACUAAUAUUACCAAUUCUUUGACAUUCAUCACAAGACAAGACAAACUUACGGGCAUCCUUGAAGAGAGUAGGCCAAUAAAAACCAGAUUGCAAUACCUUAUGUGUAGUUCUAUCUCCAGCGUGGUGUCCUCCAUAAGAUUCGGAAUGACACUUGCGUAGGAUCUGUUCCUGUUCAUGCUCAGAUACACAACGUCUAAUAACACCAUCUACUCCUUCUUUAUAAAGAUGUGGGUCAUCCCAAAAGUAAUGUCUUAAAUCAUAGAAGAACUUUUUCUUUUGCUGGUAUGUGAAGCUAGGUGGUAUAAAUUUAGCAACAAUAUAAUUAGCAUAAUCAGCGUACCAUGGAGUACUACGAGAAGUACUUAUAACAUUUAAUUGUUCAUCAGGAAAGUCAUCAUUAAUAGGUAGUGGCUCAUCAAGAAUAUUUUCUAACCUAGACAGGUUGUCUGCAACGGGGUUCUCAGCUCCCUUUCUAUCAACAAUAUGCAAAUCAAAUUCUUGUAGCAAGAGAACCCAUCUGAUAAGUCUAGGUUUAGCAUAUUUCUUUUCCAUAAGAUAUUUAAUAGCACAUGAUCAGUUUGAAUAGUGACUUUAGAAUCAACAAUAUAAGAUCUGAACUUAUCACAAGCAAAUACAACUCCUAAAAGCUCUUUUUCAGUAGUAGCAUAAUUUCUUUGAGCAUUGUCUAGAGUCUUACUAGCAUAAUGAAUAACAUUUAAUUUCUUAUCAACUCUUUGCCCUAGAACAGCACCUACAGUAUAAUCACUAGCAUCACACAUAAUUUCAAAGGGUAAGUUCCAAUCAGGUGGUUGAACAACAGGUGCAGAGACUAAUGUUUUCUUAAGUAUUUAAAAUGCUUCUACACAAUCAUCAUCAAAGACAAAUCGUAUAUCUUUUUGCAAUAAAUUAGUCAGAGGCCGAGAAAUUUUUGAGAAGUCCUUAAUGAACCUCCUGUAAAAUCUGGCGUGACCUAGGAAACUUCUUAUACCUUUGAUGUCCUUGGGACAUGGCAUCUUUUAAAUAGCAUCAACCUUGGAUUUAUCAACUUCAAUACCUCUUUCAAAAACUUUGUGCCCCAAGACAAUACCUUCAUUAACCAUAAAGUGACACUUUCCCAAUUCAAGACAAGAUUAGUUUAUUCACAUCUCUGCAAAACUCGAUCAAGAUUGCUCAAGCAAUCAUCAAAAGAGGAACCAUAGACAGAAAAGUCGUCCAUGAAAACCUCACAAAUCUUUUCACAAAAGUCAGAGAAUAUAGCCAUCAUGCAUCUUUGAAAGGUAGCAAGUGCAUUACAUAAACCAAAAGGCAUACGUCUAUAAGCAAAAGUACCAAAAGGGCAUGUAAAAGUAGUCUUUGAUUGAUCUCUAGCCGACACAGGUAUUUGAGAGAAACCAGAAUAACCAUCUAGAAAGCAAUAGUGUGUUUGUUUGCAUAAUCUUUCUAGCAUUUGAUCAAUAAAAGGUAAGGGGUAAUGAUCUUUCUUAGUAGCUUUAUUUAAUUUGUGGAAAUCAAUUACCAUCCUAUAACCUGUGAUAAUUCUUUGUGGAACCAAUUCAUCUUUAUCAUUAGGAACAACAGUAAUACCUCCCUUCUUAGGGACACAAUGGACAGGACUUACCCACUCAAUAUCAGCAACGGGAUAUAUUAUACCUGCCUCCAGAAGCUUUAGUAUUUCUUUUCUUACCACUUCUUUCAUUUUAGGAUUCAGACGUCGUUGAGGAUCAUGAACUGGUUUGGCAUCUGCUUCCAAAUUUAUUUUAUGUUGACAUAGAGUGGGACUAAUGCCCUUAAGAUCAUCAAGAGUAUAUCCAAUAGCAGCACGAUGCUUCUUCAGAGUUUCCAAUAAUCUUUCUUCUUCAUGCUCUGAAAGGUUAGCACUAAUAAUAACAGGAUAUAUCUUCUUUUCACCAAGAUAAGCAUAUUUAAGAUUAUCAUGCAAAGGUUUAAGCUCAAACACGGGACCACCCUUGGGUGGAGGAGGAUCCCCUAGGAUUUCGAUAGGCAAAUUGUGUUUCAGAACAGGUUCCUAUUUAAAUAAUACUUCAUCUAUUUCCCUUCUUUCAUUCAUGAACAUAUCAUUUUCAUGGUCUAGCAAAUAGUGUUCGAAAGGAUCACUAGGAGGUACGGCAAUAGAAGCAAGACCAAUAAUUUCAUCCUUACUAGGCAAUUCUUCCUCACGAUGUUGUUUACUAAAUUUAGAGAAAUUAAACUCAUGAACCAUAUCAUCCAAACCAAUAGUAACAAUAUUCUUAGUGCAGUCUAUGGUAGCAUUGACAAUAUUCAAGAAGGGUCUACCAAAUAUAAUGGGACAAAAGCUAUCUUGUGGGGAACCAAGAACAAGAAAAUCAGCAGGAUAUUUAGUUUUCCCACGCAAGACUUCAACAUCUCUAACAAUUCCCAUUGCUGAAAUAGUAUCUCUCUUAGCAAGUUUAAUAGUAACAUCAAUAUCUUCUAACUCAACAGGUGCAAUUUCAUUCUUAAUUUCUUCGUAUAAAGUAUGCGGUAUAACACUAGCACUAGCACCCAUAUCACAUAAGCCAUGAUAACAAUGAUCUCCUAUUUUAACAGAAAUAACAGGCACGCCUACAACAGGUCUAUGUUUAUCUUUAGCACAAGGUUUAGCAAUUCUAGCAGUUUCACCUUCGAACUGAAUAACAUGUCCAUCAAUAUUAUCAGAUAAGAGAUCUUUAACAAUAGCAAUAUUAGGUUCUACUUUAACUUGCUCAGGAGGUGUAUAAGUUCUAAUAUAGCUUUUACGAACAACAGUUGAAGCUUUAGCAUGAUCCUUUAUUCUAACGGGGAAAGGUGGUUUCUCACUAUAAGAAGUAGGAACAAUAGGAUCAUUAUAAGUGACAAUCUUUUCUUCAACUUUAAUAGGUGCAGCUACUUUUAUUUCUAUGGGAGGAUGAUAUUUAAACCACUUCUCCUUAGGGAGAUCAACAUAAGUAGCAAAAGAUUCACAGAAACAAGCUACUAUCUCAGAGCCACGUCCAUAUUUAGUGCUAAACUUACAGAAAAUAUCGGUAUCCAUAAAAGAUUUAACACAAUCAAACUUAGGUGUCAUACCUGACUCCUUACCUUCGUCGAGGUUCCAAUCUUCAGAGUUGCGUUUAUUCUAUCCAAUAAAUUCCAUCUGAAUUCAAUAGUCUUCAUCAUAAAAGAGCCAACACAAGAAGUAUCGAGCAUGGUGCGAUUGUUUUCAGAAAGCCAAGCAUUAAAACUUUUCAUAAUUAUUUCUCUUGAGAGCUCAUGAUUGGGGCAUGAAUAUAACAUUGAUUUAAGACUCCCCCAAGCUUGAGCGAUGCUUUCUCCUUCGCAAGGCCAGAAAUUAUAUAUAUAAUUGCGAUCACGAUGAACAAGAUGCAUAGGGUAAUACUUUUGAUGAAAUUCCAGCUUCAAUCUUUUAUAGUCCCAUGAUCUCAUAUCAUCACAUAGCCUAUACCAUAUCAAUGCGUCUCCCUUCAAAGAUAAAGGGAAGACUUUCUUCUUAGCAACAUCAUCAGGUAUACUUGCAAGCUUAAAUAAUCCACAAACUUCAUCCACAUAUAUUAAGUGCUCAUCCGGAUGCUUUGUUCCAUCUCCUGUAAAAAGAUUAGCUAGCAGUUUUUCUAUCAUACCCGAAGGAUACUCAUAAGGAAUUUCAUUUUCAAUAGGUUAAGUAGAUUGAGGAGCAACUCUUUGCUCUACUGGUCGGGGUGAAGAUACCCCGAACAAGCCCCUCAGAGAAUUACUUUCCAUAGUAACAAGUGACAGUAAAUUUCAGCACACUAUAUAAAUUUUUCCUUACCAAAUUCCACCUACCAAAGGCGCUACACUCCCCGGCAACGGCGCCAGAAAAGAGUCUUGAUGACCCACAAGUAUAGGAGAUCUAUCGUAGUCCUUUCGAUAAGUAAGAGCGUCGAACCCAGUGAGGAGCAGAAGGAAAUGAUAAGCGGUUUUCAGCAAGGUAUUCUCUGCAAGUACUGAAAUAAGUGGUAACAGAUAGUUUUGUGAUAGGAUAAAUUGUAAUGAGCAACAAGUAACAAAAGUAAAUAAAGUGCAGCAAGGUGGCCCAAUCCUUUUGUAGCAAAGGACAAGCCGGAACAAACUCUUAUAAUAGGAAAAGCACUCCCAAGGACACAUGGGAAUAUCGUCAAGCUAGUUUUCAUCACGUCCAUAUGAUUCACGUUCGAUACUUUGAUAAUUUGAUAUGUGGGUGGACCGGUGCUCGGGUGCUGUUCUUACUUGAACAAGCAUCCCACUUAUGAUUAACCUCUAUUGCAAGCAUCCGCAACUACAACAAAAGUAUUAAAGUAAACCUAACCAUAGCAUGAAACAUAUGGAUCCAAAUCAGCCCCUUAUGAAGCAACGCAUAAACUAGGGUUUAAACUUCUGUCACUCUAGCAACCCAUCAUCUACUUAUUACUUCCCAAUGCCUUCCUUUAGGCCCAUAUAAUGGUGAAGUGUUAUGUAGUCGACGUUCACAUAACACCACUAGAGGCUAGACAACAUACAUCUUAUCAAAAUAUCAAACGAAUACCAAAUUCACAUGACUACUCAUAGCAAGACUUCUCCCUUGUCCUCAGGAACGAACGUAAUUACUCACAAAGCAUAUUCAUGUUCAUAAUUAGAGGGGUAAUAAUAUGCAUAUAGGAUUUGAACAUAUGAUCUUCCACCAAUCAAACCAACUAGCAUCAACUACAAGGAGUAAUCAACACUACUAGCAACAUACUAGCACCAAUCCCAGACUUUGAGACAAGAAUUGGAUACAAGAGAUGAACUAGGGUUUGGAGAUGAGAUGGUGCUCGUGAAGAUGUUGAUGGAGAUUGCCCUCUCCCGAUGAGAGGAGCGUUGGUGAUGACGGUGGUGAUGAUUUCCCUCUCCGGGAGGGAAGUUUCCCCGGCAGAACAGCUCUGCCGGAGCUCUAGAUUGGAUCCGCCAAGGUUCCACCUCGUGGCUGCGGAGUCUCGUCCCAAAAAGUUCCUUCUUCUUUUUCUCUCAUGAAAGACCUCAUAUAGGAGAAGAUGGGCAUCGGAGAGCCACCAGGAGGCCCACGAGGUAGGGGGGCGCGCCCUAGGGGGGGCGCCCCCCACCCUCCUGAGAAGGGUGUGGGCCCCCUGGCCUUCAUCUUUGGCGUGGUUUUUUCUUUAUUUCUUUUAAGACAUUCCGUGGAGUUUCAGGACUUUUGGAGUUGCGUAGAAUAGGUCUCUAAUAUUUGCUCCUUUUCCAGACCAGAAUUCCAGCUGCGGGCAUUCUCCCUCCUUAUGUAAACCUUGUAAAAUAAGAGAGAAUAGCCAUAAGUAUUGUGACAUAAAGUGAAAUAACAGUCCAUAAUGCGAUAACUAUCGAUAUAAAAGCAUGAUGCAAAAUGGACGUAUCAAUGAGCAGGAAUUAAGCUUGGGGAUGAUUGAUACGUCUCCAACGUAUCUAUAAUUUUUGAUUGUUCCAUGCUAUUAUAUUAUCUGUUUUGGAUAUUAAUGGGCUUAUUUAUACACUUUUAUAUUAUUUUUGGGACUAACCUACUAACCCAUGGCUAGUGCAAAUUGCUGUUUUUUUGCCUAUUUCAGUGUUUCGCAGAAAAGGAAUAUCAAACGGAAUCCAAACGGAAUGAAACCUUUGGGAGAGUUAUUUUUGGAACAAACGUGAUCCAGGGGAAUUGGAGUAGAUGUCAAGAAAUCAACGAGGAGGCCAUAAGGCAGGGAGGCGCGCCCCCACCCUCGUGGGCCCCUUGUAGCUCCACCGACCUACUUCUUCCUGCUAUAUAUGUCCAUAUACCCCGAAAACAUCCAGGAGCACCACAAAACCCUAUUUCCACCAUCGCAACCUUCUAUACCCAAGAGAUCCCAUCUUGGGGCCUUUUCCGGAGCUCCACCGGAGGGGGAGUCGAUCACGGAGGGCUUCUACAUCAACACCAUAGCCUCUCCGAUGAUGUGUGAGUAGUUUAUCACAGACCUUCGGUCCAUAGUUAUUAGCUAGAAGGCUUCUUCUCUCUCUUUGGAUCUCAAUACAAUGUUCUCCUCGAUCUUCUUGGAGAUCUAUUUGAUGUAACUCUUUUUGUGGUGUGUUUGUCGAGAUCCGAUGAAUUGUGGGUUUAUGAUCAAGUUUAUCUGUGAACAAUAUUUGAUUCUUCUCUGAAAUCUUUUAUGUAUGAUUGGUUAUCUUUGCAAGUCUCUUCGAAUUAUCAGUUUGGUUUGGCCUACUAGAUUGAUCUUUCUUGCAAUAGGAGAAGUGCUUAGCUUUGGGUUCAAUCUUGUGGUGUCCUUUCCCAGUGACAGCAGGGGCAGCAAGGCACAUAUUGUAUUGUUGCCAUCGAGGAUAAAAAGAUGGGGUUUAUAUCAUAUUGCUUGAGUUUAUCCCUCUACAUCAUGUCAUCUUGCCUAAUGCAUUACUCUGUUCUUAUGAACUUAAUACUCUAGAUGCAUGCUGGACAGCGGUCGAUGUGUGGAGUAAUAGUAUUAGAUGCAGAAUCAUUUCGGUCUACUUGUCGUGGAUGUGAUGCCUAUAUACAUGAUCAUGCCUAGAUAUUCUCAUAAUUAUGCAGUUUUCUAUUAAUUGCUUGACAGUAAUUUGUUCACCCACCGUAAUACUUAUGCUAUCUUGAGAGAAGCCACUAGUGAAACCUAUGGGCCCCGGGUCUAUCUUUUAUCAUAUAAGUUUCCAAUCUAUUUUAUUUUGCAAUCUUUAUUUUCCAAUCUAUAUCAUAAAAAUACCAAAAAUAUUUAUCUUAUUAUCUCUAUCAGAUCUCACUCUCGUAAGUGACCGUGAAGGGAUUGACAACCCCUUUAUCGCGUUGGUUGCGAGCUUCUUAUUUGAUUGUGUAGGUGCGAGGGACUUGCGCGUAGUCUUCUACUCGAUUGAUACAUUGGUUCUCAAAAACUGAGGGAAAUACUUACGCUACUUUGCUGCAUCACCCUUUCCUCUUCAAGGGAAAACCAACGCAGUGCUCAAGAGGUAGCAAGUUGUUAUUUAUAUUUCCUUAUAUCAUGAUAAAUGUUUAUUAUUUAUGCUAGUUGUAUUAUCCAGAAACUUAUUACAUGUGUGAAUACAUAGACAAACAGAGUGUCCCUAGUAUGCCUCUACUUGACUAGCUCAUUAAUCAAAGAUGGUUAAGUUUCCUAGCCAUGGACAUGUGUUGUCAUUUGAUGAACGGGAUCACAUCAUUAGAGAAUGAUCUGAUGGACUAGACCCUUCCAUUAGCUUAGCACUAUGAUCGUUUAGUUUCUUGCUAUUGCUUUCUUCAUGACUUAUACAUGUUCCUAUGACCAUGAGAUUAUGCAACUCCCGAAUACCGGAGGAACACCUUGUGUGCUAUCAAAUAUCACAAUGUAACUGGGUGAUUAUAAAGAUGCUCUACAGGUGUCUCCGAUGGUGUUUGUUGAGUUGGCAUAGAUUGAGAUUAGGAUUUUUCACUCUGUGUAUCGGAGAGGUAUCUCUGGGCCCUCUGGGUAAUGCACAUCGCUAUGAGACUUGCAAGCAAUGUGACUAAUGAGUUAGUCACGGGAUGAUGCAUUACGGAACGAAUAAAGAGACUUGCCGGUAACGAGAUUGAACUAGGUAUGAUGAUACCAACGAUCGAAUCUCGGGCAAGUACCAUAACAACGACAAAGGGAACAACGUAUGUUGUUAUGCGGCUUGACCGAUAAAGAUCUUCUUAGAAUACGUAGGAACUAAUAUGAGCAUCCAGGUUCCACUACUGGUUAUUGACCGGAGAUGUGUCUCGGUCAUGUCUAUAUAGUUCUCGAACCCGUAGGGUCCGCACGCUUAACGUUCGAUGCCGAUAUGUAUUAUCACUUAUGUGAUUUGAUGUACCAAAGGUUGUUUGGAGUCCCGGAUGUGAUCACAGACAUGACGAGGAAUCUCAAAAUGGCCGAGACAUAAAGAUUGAUAUAGUGGAACAUGUUAUUCGGACACCGGAAGUGUUCCGGAUAGUUUUGGAUAAAACCGGAGUGCCGGAGGGUUACCGGAACCCCCCCGGGAAGUUAUGGGCCUUAUUGGGCCUUAGGGGAGAGAGAGGGCCACAGCCAGGAGGUGCCCCCCCAAGGGGAGUCCGAAUAGGACAAGGGGAGGGGGCACGGCCCCUCUUUCCCUCUCCCUCUCCCUCUCCUUCCUUCUUCUCCUAGUUGGACUAGGAAAGGGGGGAACCUACUCCUACUAGGAGUAGCAUUCCCCCCUGGGCGCGCCCCUUGUGGCCGGCCGACCCCCUCCUCUCCUCCUUUAUAUAAGGGGGAGGGGGGGACCCCAUAGACACACAAGUUGAUCUUUAGCCAUGUGUGGUGCCCCCCUCCACAGUUGUACACCUCAGUCAUAUUGUCAUAGUACUUAGGCGAAGCCCUGCGUCGGUAACUUCAUCAUCAUCAUCAACACGGCGUUGUGCUGACGCAACUCACCCUCGGCCUCAGCUAGAUCAAGAGUACGAGGGACAUCACCAAGCUGAACAUGUGCAGAUCUCAGAGGUGCCGUGCGUUCGAUACUUGAUCGGUUGGAUCGCGAAGACAUUUGACUACAUCAACCGCAUUACUAAAUGCUUCCGCUUUCGGUCUACGAGGGUAAGUAGACACACUCUCCCCUCUCGUUGCUAUGCAUAUCCUAGAUAGGUCUUGCAUGACCGUAGGAAUUUUUUUGAAAUACUGCGUUCCCCAACAGUGGUAUCAGAGCCACGUCUAUGCGUAGAUGUUAUAUGCAUGAGUAGAACACAAAGAGUUGUGGGCGAUAAUAGUCAUAUUGCUUACCAGCAUGUCAUACUUUGAUUCGGCGGUAUUGUUGGAUGAAGCGGCCUAGACCGACAUUACAUGACCGCAUUCAUGAGACUGGUUCUACCGACGUGCUUCACACACAAGUGGCUAAUGGGUGUCUGUUUCUCCAACUUUAGUUGAAUCGAGUGUGACUACGCCCGGUCCUUGUUGAAGGUUAAAACAACACACUUGAAGAAAAAUCAUUGUGGUUUUGAUGCGUAGGUAAGAACGGUUCUUGAUAGAAGCCCGUAGCAGCCAUGUAAAACUUGCAACAACAAAGUAGAGGACAUCUAGUUUUUGUAGGGCAUCUUGUGAUGUUAUAUGGUCAAGACGUGAUGAGAUAUAAAUUACUGUAUGAGAUGAUCAUGUUUUGUAACCGUUAUCGGCAACUGGCAGGAGCCUUAUGGUUGUCUCUUUAUUGUAUGAAAUGUAAUAUCCAUGUAAUUGCUUUACUUUAUCACUAAGCGGUAGCGAUAGUCGUAGAAGCAAUAGUUGGCGAGACGACAACGAUGCUACGAUGGAUAUCAAGGUGUCAAGCCGGUGAUGAUGGUGGUCAUGACAGUGCUUUGGAGAUGGAGAUCAAAGGGACAAGAUGAUGAUGGCCAUAUCAUAUCACUUAUUUUGAUUGCAUGUGAUGUUUAUCCUUUAUGCAUCUUAUUUUGCUUAGUAUGGCGGUAGCAUUAUAAGAUGAUCUCUCACUAAAUUUCAAGUUAUAAGUGUUCUCCCUGAGUAUGCACCAUUGCUACAGUUCAUCGUGCCGAGACAUCACGUGAUGAUCAGGUGUGAUAAGCUCUACGUUCAAAUACAACAGGUGCAAGCCAGUUUUGCACAAGCAGAAUACUUGGGUUAAACUUGACGAGCCUAGUGAUGGUAGCUGGAACUACGUCAGUAUUUCCUUGGAGAGGGAGGGAUGAUGUAGCACAACGACAUUAGGUAUUUCCCUCAGUUAUGAAACCAAGGUAUCGAACCAGUAGGAGAACCAAGCAACACAACGUAAGCAGCACCUGCACACAAAUAAAAAAUCCUCGCAACCCGACGUGUUAAAGGGGUUGUCAAUCCCUUUCUGGUAAGGGCGCCAGAAAUUGCGUGUGACGGGAGAUAAAAUUGUAAUAGAUUGAAAUAAUAGAUCGCAAAUAAAAUAGAGUGCAACAAAGUAUUUUUGGAUUUUUGGUUUAAUAGAUCUUAAUAAAAAUGCAAAGGAAAAGUAGAUCGCAAGGCAAAUAUAUGAGAAAGAAGACCCGGGGGCCGUAGGUUUCACUAGUGGCUUCUCUCGAGAAAAAUAGCAAACAGUGGGUAAACAAAUUAUUGUUGGGCAAUUGAUAGCACCUCAAAUACUUAUGACGAUAUCCAUGCAAUGAUCCUUACAUAGGCAUCACGUCCAAGAUUAGUAGACCGACUCCUGCCUACAUCUACUACUAUUACUCCACACAUCGACCGCUUUCUAGCAUGCAUCUAGUGUAUUAAGUUCAUGGAAAAAUGGAGUAAUGCAAUAAGAAUGAUGACAUGAUGUAGACAAGAUCCAUUUAUCUAUAUGGCGGUAGAUAUAGAUUUAAUAUUUUUAUCCUUAGUAGCAACGAUACAUACUUUUGAUGUUCUCAAACUUUUUCAAUCUUCACGCAAUAUAUGAGCGUGAGCCAUGGACAUAGCACUAUAGGUGGAAUAUAAUGGUGGUUGUGGAGAAGACAAAAAAGGAGAAGAUAGUCUCACAUCAACUAGGCGUAUCAACGGGCUAUGGAGAUGCCCAUCAAUAGAUAUCAAUGUGAGUGAGUAGGGAUUGCCAUGCAACGGAUGCACUAGAGCUAUAAGUGCAUGAAAGCUCAAAAAGAAACUAAGUGGGUGUGCAUCCAACUCGCUUGCUCACGAAGACCUAGGGCAUUUUGAGGAAGCCCAUCAUUGGAAUAUACAAGCCAAGUUCUAUAAUGUAAAAUUCCCACUAGUAUAUGAAAGUGAUAACAUAGGAGACUCUCUAUCAUGAAGAUCAUGGUGCUACUUUGAAGCACAAGUGUGGUAAAAGGAUAGUAGCAUUGUUCCUUCUAUCUUUUUCUCUCAUUUUUUCUUUCCCUUUUUUCUCUUUUUUUAUUGUUCGUCCGGAGUCUCAUCCCGACUUGUGGGGGAAUCAUAGUCUCCACUAUCCUUUCCUCACAUGGGAAAAUGCUCUAAUAAUGAUGAUCAUCACACUUUUAUUUACUUACAACUCAAGAAUUACAACUCGAUACUAGAACAAAAUAUGACUCUAUGUGAAUGCCUCCGGCGGUGUACCGGGAUAUCCAAUGAAUCAAGAGCGACAUGUAUGAAAGAAUUAUAAAGGUGGCUUUGCCACAAAUACGAUGUCCACUACAUGAUCACGCAAAGCAAUAUGACAAUGAUGAAGCCUGUCAUAACAAACGGAACGGUGGAAAGUUGCAUGGCAAUAUAUCUCGGAAUGGCUAUGGAAAUGCCAUAAUAGGUAGGUAUGGUGGCUGUUUUGAGGAAGGUAUAUGGUGGGUGUAUGAUACCAGCGAAAGGUGCGCGGUAUUAGAGAGGCUAGCAAUGGUGGAAGGGUGAGAUUGCAUAUAAUCCAUGGACUCAACAUUAGUCAUAAAGAACUCACAUACUUAUUGCAAAAAUCUAUUAGUUAUCAAAUCAAAGUACUACCCGCAUGCUCCUAGGGGUAUAGAUUGGUAGGAAAAGACCAUCACUCGUCCCCGACCGCCACUCGUAAGGAAGACAAUCAAUAAAUAAAUCAUGCUCCGACUUCAUCACAUAACGGUUCACCAUACGUGCAUGCUACGAGAAUCACAAACUUUAGAACAAGUAUUUCUCAAAUUCACAACUACUCAACUAGCAUGACUCUAAUAUCACCAUCUUCAUAUCUCAAAACAAUCAUCAAGUAUCAAACUUCUCAUAGUAUUCAAUGCACUUUUUAUGAUAGUUUUUAUUAUACCCAUCUUGGAUGCCUAUCAUAUUAGGACUAAUUUUAUAGCCAAAGCAAAUUACCAUGCUGUUCUAUAAGACUCUCAAAAUAAUAUAAGUGAAGCAUGAGAGAUCAAUAAUUUUUAUAAAAUAAAACCACCACCGUGCUCUAAAAGGAUAUAAGUGAAGUACUAGAGCAAAAUUAUCCAGCUCAAAAGAUAUAAGUGAAGCACAUAGAGUAUUCUAAUAAAUUUUGAUUCAUGUGUGUCUCUCCAAAAGGUGUGUACAGCAGGGAUGAUUGUGGUAAAAUAAAAAGCAAAGACUCAAAUCAUACAAGACGCUCCAAGCAAAACACAUAUCAUGUGGUGAAUAAAAAUAUAGCCUCAAGUAAAGUUACCGAUGGAAGAAGACGAAAGAGGGGAUGCCUUCCGGGGCAUCCCCAAGCUUAGGCUUUUGGUUGUCCUUGAAUUUUACCUUGGGGUGCCUUGGGCAUCCCCAAGCUUAGGCUCUUGCCAAUCCUUAUUCCAAAAUCCAUCAAAUCUUUACCCAAAACUUGAAAACUUCACAACACAAAACUCAACAGAAAAUCUCAUGAGCUCCGUUAGUAUAAAGAAAACAAACCACCACUUCAAUGUACUGUAAUGAACUAAUUCUUUAUUUAAAUUGGUGUUAAACCUACUGUAUUCCAACUUCUCUAUGGUUCAUACCCCCUGAUACUAGCCAUAGAUUCAUCGAAAUAAGAAAACAACACACGAAAAAUAGAAUCUGUCAAAAACAGAACAGUCUGUAGUAAUAUGUAGGUUUCAAAUACUUCUGUAACCCCCAAAAUUCUGAAAUAAAUUGUCGGGCAUGAGGAAUUUGUCCAUUAAUCAUAUGCAAAAAGAAUCAACCUAAUCGCACUCUCCAGUAAAAAAAUGGCAGCAAAUCUCGUGAGCGCUAAAGUUUCUGUUUUUUACAGCAAGAUCGCAAAGACUUCCCCCAAGUCUUCCCAACGGUUCUACUUGGCACAAACACUAAUUAAAAACAUAAAACCACAUGUAAAUAGAGGCUAGAUGAAUUAUUUAUUACUAAACAGGAACAAAAAACAAGAAGCAAAAAUAAAAUUGGGUUUCCUCCCGACAAGCGCUAUCGUUUAGCGCCCCUAGUUAGGCAUCUAUAAUUGUAAUGAUGCUCACAUGAAAGAUAGCAAUUGAAACACGAAGGGAGCAUCAUGAAGCAUAUGAAAAUCACAUCUAAGUCUAACAUACUUCCUAUGCACAGGCAUCUUAUAGGCAAACAAAUUAUCAAGGAAACCAAAAACUAGCAUAUGCAAGGAAGUGGAAGGAAACAAUAGCAAUCUCAACAUAACGAGAGGUAAUUGUAAUGCCCGGGUAAUUAAGCUACAGUAAUGCCAUGCUAAUGGUGCCACGUCACCACGGUUAUUGUUGUUAACCUUGCGAUGAUUCGAAACCGUUUCAAAAUUCAAAUUCGAAUUAAUAUCAAUGAUAAAAAAAUUUCAAACAUUGAAACAAAAAUGUUCGGUGGGUGCCAAAAAUUGCACUGGUAAUUAUUGCGGAGAAAACCCAUUUUUAGAAGUUGCCUAAAUAUUUUAAAAUGAUUUAAAACAGAAAAGAAAAUAAGUAAAAACAAAAAAACAAAACAAAAGAGAAAUGAAAAGGAAACCCCCAACCCCCUGGGCCACAUGGCCCAGCUAGCAACAGCUGGCCAGCCCAACUGGGCAAAGGCCAGCCGGCCCGGGCCCCCUACCUCGUCCCCCUCCCCUGUUCCCCCGACCCGGUCGGAACAGGGGCGCGCUCCCGCCCAACCACCUCGCCGGCACCAGCGCCGGGAGGAGAUAGGGCCGCCACGCCCUUGCCCCCUUGAUCCCAUCUCCCACUCUCCCCCGCUCUCCCUCUCGGUCCCUGCGCCUCCCCUCCCCUCAGAUCCGCCUUGCUGCUUCUCCUUCCCCUUCGCAUCCGAGCGCCACCGCCGCCAUGGCUCCGGCCUAGCCGUGACCACCAUGCCCACCUCGCGGCCCCACUAUGUCUCCAAGGGCCGCCAUCGUCCGCUGCUUCGACUGGUGCACCCCGUUGGAGAUCAGAGCCACUACAACGCCACGACGUCGCCGUCUUCCUCCUCUGCUCCGACGAGCUUUGUCACCACUCUUCACCAACUCCGGCGACGCCUUUGCUGCUACUAACCCCCCCACGGGCCGAUGUGUGUGCCGCUCGGUGAGCCCCCGCUUCCUCCUCUCUCGCGCGCGCCCUAGCUAGUUGUCGUCGUUGCACCCGAACGCAGCACCGCGGAGCUCGUCGCCGACGAGUCUCUGGUAACCAAAUGGUCACGGGCCAGCGCCCGUUGCACUCGACGCCUCACAUACGUCGCGCCUGGCCUCUCAGUUCACUCGCUACCGCGCCGCGUCGCCAAUCCCUCUCGCGGCCGAACGCCAGCGUCCGCCGCGCCGCUCGCCGCCGUUGCUACCGUUCGGCGCGGCGUUGUCUCUGCUUUCGAACGCCCCCAGCCCCGUGACGAACCGUACCCCGUGGCCUCGCCUUUGAACUCGCCGGGCCUCGAUGUCCGUCCGAUGUCGUCGCCGGCGACCAUUCCGGCCACGCCCGCCGUCAUGCUCCCCUCCAUCAGACGCAGUGCGUAGAGGCCGUUCCAGAGAGCCUGGCCGCGCCCGUUUUGGGCCACCAUGGUGAAAUCCCGGGGCUCGCCGGUGCCCUUCGCCGCAUUUCAGCUCGCCGGGGCAACUCCGGCGCCAGUGCUGACCUAGCCUGGGAGGGACCCACCCCUGGGACACUGCAUGUGGGCCUAGGGGCCUCAACUGGCCAUGUUGACCGAAGUCAACCGCACUGACGUGACUCCCCUGUCUAUGACAUGCGGGCCCCAUGCCAUAAACGAAUAAAAACAAAUAGAUAAAUUGCUAAUUAAUUAAGUUAACUAAAUAAAACAUUAGUCUCUCACUGACUACUAGGCCCCACCCACUAAUUAACCCAUUUAGUUAGCCUGAACCCCCUAUUAGUGCCCCUGAUAAUGACAUGUGGGUCCCCAUGGACCCACCUGUCUGGUUUGACUGGUCAACCGACCAGUUGACCUGCUGACAUCACUCUGAUGUCAUGCCUGUGUCAUCAUUCAUUGUUCUGGAUAAUGUUGGAUUUAAAUAAAUAAUUAAAAUCAGAAAAUGAUUAAAACUUUAGAAAAUCAUAUAAAAUAAACCGUAGCUCAGAUGAAAAUGUUUUCUACAUGAAAGUUGCUCAGAACGACGAGACGAAUCGGGAUACGCAGCCCGUUCGUCCACCACGCAUCCCUAGCAUAGUGAACAUGCAACUUUCCCCCUUUGAUUCAUUUGUCCAAAAACGAAAAACACCAGGGAUAUUUUCCCGUAUGUUUUCCCCCUUUACCGAUACCACCUCAUACCGCGUUAGGGCACCCCUAGCACCGCUACCUGUCAUGUCAUGGAUCGGUAUGCAUCUGUUUGCAUUGUAUUCAUUGUUUCUUCCCCCUCUUCUCUCCGGUAGACUAUGAGGCUGACACUGCUGCUGGUGCCCCGAUCGACUACGCUGUUGACGACCCCUCUUUCUUGCCAGAGCAACCAGGCAAGCCCCCCCUUAAUCACCAGAUAUCGCCUACUCUUCUCUCUACUUCUUGCAUUAGAGUAGUGUAACAUGUUACUGCUUUCCAUUAAUCAUAUUCUGAUGCAUAGCCUGUCAUUGUUGCUACAACUGUUGAUACCUUACCUGCAAUCCUAACUGCUUAGUAUAGGAUGCUAGACUAUCAUUAGUGGCCCUACAUUCUUGUCAGUCUGCCAUGCUAUACUAUCGGGCCGUGAUCACAUUGGGUGUUGAUCACGGGUAUAUACUAUACAUACAUACAAUACAUGUUGUGACUAAAGUCGGGUGGGCUCGUUGAGUACCCGCAAGUGAUUCCAAUGUUGGGGGCUGAAGGGCCAGGUGGUUCCACCCAGGUAGUGGUGGGCCUAGGUUCCCGACGGCCCCCGACUGUUACUUUGUGACGGAGCGACAGGGCAGGCGGAGACCACCUAGGUGAGAGGUGGGUCUGGCCCUGGCCGGCGUUCGCGGUUACUUCAAUAACACGGUUAACGAGAUCUAGGUAUUUGAUCUGAGUCUGGCUAUUGGCCUAUACGCACUAACCAACUACGCGGGAACAGUUAUGGGCACUCGACGUCGUGGUAUCAGCCGAAGCCUUCGUGACAUCAUCGACUAAGCGGCGUGCGCCGGUUUGGACCGCGUAACGCAACUUCCUUUGUAAUGGAGGUUGCUAGGUCUGCUCUCCGGCCGCCCACGCAAUGUGCAGGUGUGCAAUGGGCUAUGGGCCCAGACCCCUGCGCGCAUAGGAUAUAGACCAGCAUGCUGACCUCUCUGUUGUGCCUAGGUAGGGCUGCGACGUGUUGAUCUUUCGAGGCCGGGCAUGACCCAGAAAAGUGUGUCCAUACAAAGGGGAUCGAGCAUGUUGGGAAAUGUGGUGCACCCCUACAGGGAAGUUAAUCUAUUCGAAUAGCCGUGAUCUUCGGUAAUAGGAUGACUUGGAGUUGUACCUUGACCUUAUGACAACUAGAAGCGGAUACUUAAUAAAAUACACCCUUUCAAGUGCCAGAUACAACUCGGUGAUCGCUCUCUCACAGGGCGACGAGGGGAGGAUCAUCGGUUAGGAUUAUGCUAUGCGAUGCUACUUGGUGAACUUACCAUCUACUCUCUUCUUUUGCUGCAAGAUGGAGGUUACCAGAAGCGUAGUCUUCGAUAGGACUAGCUAUCCCCCUCUUAUUCCGGCAUUCUGCAGUUCAGUCCACAUAUGAUACCCCUUUUCCAUUUGAUACCAAUGCAUACAUAUGUAGUGUAGCUCCAUGCUUGCGAGUACUUUGGAUGAGUACUCACGGUUGCUUUGCUCCCUCUUUUCCCCUUUCUAUACUCGAUUGUUGCGACCAGACGAUGGAGUCCAGGAGCUAGACGCCACCGUUGACGACGACUCCUACUACACUGGAGGUGCCUACUACUACGUGCAGGCCGCUGACGACGACCAGGAGUAGUUUAGGAGGAUCCUAGGUAGGAGGCCUGCGCCUCUUUCGAUCUGUAUCCCAGUUUGUGCUAGCCUUCUUAAGGCAAACUUGUUUAACUUAUGUAUGUACUCAGAUAUUGUUGCUUCCGCUAACUCGUCUAUGAUCGAGCUCUUGUAGUCGAGCCCUCGAGGCCCCUGGCUUGUAAUAUGAUGCUUGUAUGACUUAUUUUAUUUGUAGAGUUGUGUUGUGAUAUCUUCCUGUGAGUCCCUGAUCUUGAUCAUACACGUUUGCGUGUACAAUUAAUGUACGAUUGAAUCGGGGGCGUCACAAGUUGGUAUCAGAGCUGACUGCCUGUAGGAAUCCCCUUUCCACACUCCUUGGCCAAAGUCGAGUCUAGACAUUUAAAAACUUUUUACUAACAUGGAUGUGUGUCCUACGGGCCCACGUCGCCAUUUGGAUGGUAUUAGGAUCUUUUACUCCUCGACCCUUACUCUGGGACUCUGAACUAUCUUCUACUCGGGUUAAACGAUUUUACUAACUCUAACAUUAGGAUCCCGCGACCACGUUCACCCCAAAGUUGGAUAAGCCCUAGCUAUUCCAUAGAGUAGUAUAUUGAACAUUAUCCACACUGUCAUUUGACUCCUUUGAAACAUCUUUGUUUUCAGAUGGAACCCACGAGACAGGUCGUGCGCCACACGACGGCCAUUGGUGCCUCAGGAUCACUUGCUAUGUUGGUCGAGAUGAUGACCUAUCUGGGUUAUCGCUGGCACCCUGAGUACACCAUCUACGAGGAGUACCAGGACUUCAACCAGGAAUGGUAUCGUGCCAUCGUCCACCUCUACUCUCGGGAGUAUAAGUCCACUACCCUGCUGCACACUGCUCAUGGUGUUGGAGGGACUAUUGCUACCUCUUGAGCACUGCAUUGGUUUUUCCUUGAAGAGGAAAGGGUGAUGCAGCAAAGUAGCGUAAGUAUUUCCCUCAGUUUUUGAGAACCCAGGUAUCAAUCUAGUAGGAGGCCGCGCACGAGUCCCUCGCACCUACACAAACAAAUAAAUCCUCGCAACCAACGUGAUAAGGGGUUGUAAAUCCCUACACAGUCACUUACGAGAGUGAGAUCUGAUAGAUAUCAUAGGAUAAUAUUUUUAGUAUUUUUAUGAUAAAGAGAAAUAAAAGAUGCAAGUAAAAUAAAUGGCAAAGGAAAUAACUACGUAUUGGAAGGUUAAUAUGAUGGAAGAUAGACCCAGGGCCAUAGGUUUCACUAGUGGCUUCUCUCAAGAGCAUAAGUAUUUAUGGUGGGUGAACAAAUUACUGUUGAGCAAUUGACAGAACUGAGCAUAGUUAUGAGAAUAUAUAGGUAUGAUCAUGUAUAUAGGCAUCACGUCCGAGACAAGUAUACCGACUCCUGCCUGCAUCUACUACUAUUACUCCACACGUCGACCGCUAUCCAGCAUGCAUCUAGAGUAUUAAGUUCAAGAGAACAGAGUAACGCUUUAAGCAAGAUGACAUGAUGUAGAGGGAUAAACUCAUGCAAUAUGAUAUAAAACCCAUCUUGUUAUCCUCGAUGCAACAAUACAAUACGUGCCUUGCUGCCCCUACUGUCACUGGGAAAGGACACCGCAAGAUUGAACCCAAAGCUAAGCACUUCUCCCAUUGCAAGAAAGAUCAAUCUAGUAGGCCAAACCAAACUGAUAAUUCGAAGAGACUUGCAAAGAUAACCAAUCAUAAAUAAAAGAAUUCAGAGAAGAUUCAAAUAUUGUUCAUAGAUAAACUUGAUCAUAAACCCACAAUUCAUCGGUCUCAACAAACACACCGCAAAAGAAGAUUACAUCGAAUAGAUCUCCACAAGAGAGGGGGAGAACUUUGUAUUGAGAUCCAAAAAGAGAGAAGAAGCCAUCUAACUAAUAACUAUGGACCCGUAGGUCUGAAGUAAACUACUCACACUUCAUCGGAGGGGCUAUGGUGUUGAUGUAGAAGCCCUCUGUGAUCGAUGCCCCCUCCGGCGGAGCUCCGGGAAAGGCCCCAAGAUGGGAUCUCGUGGAUACAGACAGUUACGGUGGUGGAAUUAGGGUUUUGGCUCCGUAUCUGGUAGUUUGGGGGUACGUAGGUAUAUAUAGGAGGAAGGAGUACGUCGGUGGAGCAACAGGGGGGACCACGAGGGUGGAGGGCGCACCUAGGGAGGGGGAGGCGCGCCCCCUACCUCGUGCCUUCCUCGUUGAUUGCUUGAUGUAGGGUCCAAGUCCUCUGGAUCUUGUUUGUUCUGAAAAUCACAUUCCCGAAGGUUUCAUUCCGUUUGGACUCCGUUUGAUAUUCUUUUUCUGCGAAACCCUAACAUAGGCAAAAAAUAGCAAUUCUGGGCUGGGCCUCCGGUUAAUAGGUUAGUCCCAAAAAUAAUAUAAAAGUGUAUAAUAAAGCCCAAUAAUGUCCAAAACAGAAUAUAAUAUAGCAUGGAACAGUAAAAAAUUAUAGAUACGUUGGAGACGUAUCAAGCAUCCCCAAGCUUAAUUCCUGCUCGUCCUCGAGUAGGUAAAUGAUAAAAACAGAAUUUUUGAUGUGGAAUGCUACUUGGCGUAAUUCAAUGUAAUUCUUCUUAAUUGUGGUAUGAAUAUUCAGAUCUGAAAGAUUCAAGACAAAAGUUCAAUAUUGUCAUAGAAAUAAUAAUACUUCAAGCAUACUAACUAAGCAAUUAUGUCUCUUCAAAAUAACAUGGCCAAAGAAAGUUAUCCCUACAAAAUCAUAUAGUCUGGCUAUGCUCUAUCUUCAUCACACAAAGUAUUUAAAUCAUGCACAACCCCGAUGACAAGCCAAGCAAUUGUUUCAUACUUUUGGUGUUCUCAAACUUUCUCAAUCUUCACGCAAUACAUGAGCGUGAGCCAUGGACAUAACACUUUAGGUGGAAUAGAAUGAUGGCUGUGGAGGAGACAAAAAAGGGGAAAUAUAGUCUCACAUCAACUAGGCGUAUCAACAGGCUAUGGAGAUGCCCAUCAAUAGAUAUCAAUGUGAGUGAGUAGGGAUUGCCAUGCAACGGAUGCACUAGAGCUAUAAGUAUAUGAAAACUCAACAAAAGGAACUAAGUGGGUGUGCAUCCAACUCGCUUGCUCACGAAGACCUAGGGCAUUUUGAGGAAGCCCAUCAUUGGAAUAUACAAGCCAAGUUCUAUAAUGAAAAAUUCCCACUAGUAUAUGAAAGUGAUAACACAGGAGACUCUCUAUUAUGAAGAUCAUGGUGCUACUUUGAAGCACAAGUGUGGUAAAAGGAUAGUAGCAUUGUCCUUCUCUCUUUUUCUCUCAUAUUUUUUUAUUUGGGCCUUUUCUUUUUUAUGGCCUCUUUUUUUUCGUCUGGAGUCUCAUCCCGACUUGUGAGGGAAUCAUAGUCUCCAUCAUCCUUUCCUCACUUGGGACAAUGCUCUAAAAAUGAUGAUCAUCACACUUUUAUUUACUUACAACUCCACAAUUACAACUCAAUACUUAGAAAAAAAUAUGACUCUAUGUGAAUGCCUCCAGCCGUGUACCGGGAUAUGCAAUGAAUCAAGAGUGACAUGUAUGAAAGAAUUAUGAAUGGUGGCUUUGCCACAAAUACAAUGUCAACUACAUGAUCAUGCAAAGCAAUAUGACAAUGAUGGAGCAUGUCAUAGUAAACGGAACGGUGGAAAGUUGCAUGACAAUAUAUCUCGGAAUGGCUAUGGAAAUGCCAUGAUAGGUAGGUAUGGUGGCUGUUUUGAGGAAGGUAUAUGGUGGGUGUAUGAUAUCGGCGAAAGGUGCGCGGUAUUAGAGAGGCUAGCAAUGGUGGAAGGAAGAAAAGUGCGUAUGAUCCAUGGACUCAACCUUAGUCAUAAAGAACUCAUAUACUUAUUGCAAAAAUCUACAAGUUAUCAAAGCAAAGUAUUACGCGCAUGCUCCUAGGGGGAUAGACUGGUAGGAAAAGACCAUCGCUCAUCCCCGACCACCACUCAUAAGGAAGACAGUCAAUAAAUAAAUCAUGCUCCGACUUCAUCACAUAACAGUUCACCAUACGUGCAUGCUACAGGAAUCACAAACUUUAAAACAAGUAUUUCUCAAAUUCACAACUACUCGACUAGCAUGACUCUAAUAUUACCAUCUCCAUAUCUCAAAACAAUUAUCAAGUAUCAAACUUCUCAUAGUAUUCAACACACUCAUAAGAAAAUUUUUAUUAAUCUUGAAUGCCUAACAUAAUUAAAGCAAAUUACCAUGCUGUUUUGUAGAACUCUCAAAAUAAUCUAAGUGAAGCAUGAGAGAACAAUAGUUUCUAUAAAACAAAUCCACCGACGUGCUCUAAAAUAUAUAAGUGAAGCACUGGUGCAAAAACUAUAUAACUCAAAAGAUACAAGUGAAGCACAUAGAGUAUUCUAACAAUUUCCGAAUCACGUGUGUCUCUCUAAAAAGGUGUGUACAUCAAGUAUGAUUGUGGAAAAAUAACAAAUAAAGACUCAAAUAAUACAAGACGCUCCAAGCAAAACAAAUAUCAUGUGGUAAAUAAAAAUAUAGCUCCAAGUGAAGUUACCGAUGGAAGUAGACGAAAGAGGGGAUGCCUUCCGGGGCAUCCCCAAGCUUUGGAUUUUAGGUGUCCUUAGAUUAUCUUAGUGUGCCAUGGGAAUCCCCAAGAUUAGGCUCUUUCCACUCCUUGUUCCAUAAUCCAUCAAAUCUUUUACCCAAAACUUGAAAACUUCACAACACAAAACUUAAAGUAGAAAAUCUCGUGAGCUCCGUUAGCAAAAGAAAACAAAACACCACUUCAAGGUACUGUAAUGAACUCAUUAUUUAUUUAUAUUGGUGUUAAACCUACUGUAUUCCAACUUCUCUAUGGUUUAUAAACUAUUUUACUAGCCAUAGAUUCAUUAAAAUAAGCAAACAACACACGAAAAACAGAAUCUGUCAAAAACAGAACAGUCUGUAGUAAUUUGUAGCUAACUCAAUAUCUGGAACCACCAAAAUUCUAAAAUAAAUUUCUAGACGUGAGGAAUUUAUCUAUUAAUCAUCUGAAAAAAUAAUUAAAUAAAUAUCACUUUCCAAAUAAAAAUGGCAGCAAUUCUCGUGAGCGCUAAAGUUUCUGUUUUUUACAGCAAGAUUAAAAAGACUUUCCCCAAGUCUUUCCAACGGUUCUACUUGGCAAAAACACUAAUUAAACACAAAAAACACAACCAAAACAGAGGCUAGAUAAUUUAUUUAUUACCAAACAGGAGCAAAAAGCAAGGAAUAAAAAUAAAAUUGGGUUGCCUCCCAACAAGCGCUAUCGUUUAACGCCCCUAGCUCGGCAUAAUAUUUCAAUGAUGCUCACAUGAAAGACAAGAAUUGAAGCACAAAAAGAGCAUCAUAAAACACGUGAAAAACACAUCUAAGUCUAACAUACUUCCUAUGCAUAGGUAUCUUAUAGGCAAACAAAUUAUCAAGGCAAGCAAAAACUAGCAUAUGCAAGGAAGCGGAAAGAAACAAUAGCAAUCUCAACAUAACGAGAGAUAAUUUAGUAACAUGAAAAUUUAUACCACCAUAUCUUCCUCUCUCAUAAUAAUUACAUGUAGGAUCAUAAGCAAAUUCAACAAAAUAGCUAUCACAUAAAAUAUUUUCAACAUGAUCCACGUGCAUGCAAAGUUGACACUCUUCCAAAAUAGUGGGAUUAACAUUAACUAAAGUCAUGACCUCUUCAAACCCAUUUUUAUCAAAAAAAUUCAUAAGAUUGAACAUUCUCCAAAUAUGUGGGAUCUAAAGUUGAAACUCUUCCAAACCCACUUCCAAUAAUAUUGCAAACACUAUUAUCAGUCUCAUAUUCAUCAUGGGGCUUAAAUAAUUUUUCAAGAUCGAAAGAAGAAUCACCCCAAUCAUGAUCAUUGCAACAAAUAGUAGUCAUAGCAAAACUAGCAUCCCCAAGCUUAGGGUUUUGCAUAUCAUUAACACAAUUGGCAUUAAGAGAAUUUAUAAUAACAUCAUUGCAAUCAUGCUUUUCAUCGAAGGAACUAUCAAGUAUGGGUGCAAUAGCAAUGAUCUCAUGUUUAACAUAAGGAACUAUAGCCAAUUCAUCUUCAUAAAUAUUGGCAUCAUGGCCACAAGAAUAGCAAGCAUCAUGUGCAUCAAGGGAUAUUUUAAUCAAAUCACCGAAAUCAUAAUUAUCUAUAGAUUCAUGCAUAUCAUUAUUUUCUUCCGAAGCAACAGUCAUUCUUUCAAUAAAUUCUUUGAUAUAGACAUUAUGAGCAUAGUUUUCAUAGCAAUAUUUAAGUAUGUCAAAAUUUUCAGAUUCGUAGAGAGUAAUAUCAUACUUUUCAAUCAAAGAAGCAACUUCAUAAGCACCCUUAAAAGCAACAAAUUCUUCAAUUCGUUCGAUAUCGUAGUAACUAUAAACACCCUUUGCAUAAGAAGAUAAGAUUUCAAUAUUGUUAAACUCACUUAGGUAGGGGAGGUGUUUUUUAGGGUUCUUAGAGAAACAAGUAAAACCACAAAUUUCACAAAGAUUCCAAGCAUAACACAUCAAUCUAUUUAUUUGAUUCCAUAAGAGUCUCCCUUUUUUAGACAAACGGUGAUGCACAAAAUGAGCAUGCUCAUCUAAAGAUUUCCCAUCAACUAGGCUAGUUGGGGUUUCAGCACGAGCGCAUAAGGAUCAAAGAUGAUCUAAGUAGAACACUUUAAGUGGAUCCAUAUCAAUAGAUUUUUUGCAAGCAAAGAUACAAACAAAUAGAAGGCACAUGGAAACACAAACAAGGAUACAUACGGGAAGAAGGCAAACAAAAGAAGAGGCAAAUAGGGAAAGAGAGGGAGGAUGGAGAGAGAGGGCGAAUAAAACGGCAAGGGUGAAGUGGGGGAGAGGAAAACGAGAGGCAAGUGGCAAAUAAUGUAAUGCGGGAGAUAAGGGUUUGUGAUGGGUACUUGGUAUGUCUUGACUUUCAACGGCGCCACAAGUGACUCGUUGUCGGGAGUCAAAUCUUGACUUGUAUUGCAGGAACCUCCCCGGCAACGGUGCCAUAAUUCCUUCUUGCUACCUCUUGAGCACUGUGUUGGUUUUCCCUUGAAGAGGAAAGGGUGAUGCAUCAAAGUAGCGUAAGUAUUUCCCUCAGUUUUUGAGAACCAAUGUAUCAAUCCAGUAGGAGGCCGCGCACGAGUCCCUCGUACCUACACAAACAAAUAAAUCCUCGCAACCAACGCGAUAAGGGGUUGUCAAUCCCUACACGGUCACUUACGAGAGUGAGAUGUAAUAGAUAUGAUAGGAUAAUAUUUUUGGUAUUUUUAUGAUAAAGAGAAAUAAAAGAUGCAAGUAAAAUAAAUGGCAAAGGAAAUAACUAAGUAUUGGAAGAUUAAUAUGAUGGAAGAUAGACCCGGGGGCCAUAGGUUUCACUAGUGGCUUCUCUCAAGAGCAUAAGUAUUUAUGGUGGGUGAACAAAUUACUGUUGAGCAAUUGACAGAAUUGAGCAUAGUUAUGAGAAUAUCUAGGUAUGAUCAUGUAUAUAGGCAUCACGUCCGAGACAAGUAGACCAACUCCUGCCUGCAUCUACUACUAUUACUCCACACAUCGACCGCUAUCCAGCAUGCAUCUAGAGUACUAAGUUCAAGAGAACAGAGUAACGCUUUAAGCAAGAUGACAUGAUGUAGAGGGAUAAACUCAUGCAAUAUGAUAUAAACCCCAUCUUGUUAUCCUCGAUGGCAACAAUACAAUACGUGCCUUGCUGCCCCUACUGUCACUAAGGACACCGCAAGAUAGAACCCAAAGCUAAGCACUUCUCCCAUUGCAAGAAAGAUCAAUCUAGUAGGCCAAACCAAACUGAUAAUUCGAAGAGACUUGCAAAGAUAACCAAUCAUAAAUAAAAUAAUUCAGAGAAGAUCCAAAUAUUUUUCAUAGAUAAACUUGAUCAUAAACCCACAAUUCAUCGGUCUCAACAAACACACCGCAAAAGAAGAUUACAUCGAAUAGAUCUCCACAAGAGAGGGGGAGAACUUUGUAUUGAGAUCCAAAAAGAGAGAAGAAGCCAUCUAGCUAAUAACUAUGGACCCAUAGGUCUGAAGUAAACUACUCACACUUCAUCGGAGGGGCUAUGGUGUUGAUGUAGAAGCCCUCCGUGAUCGAUGCCCCCUCCGGCGGAGCUCCAGAAAAGGCCCCAAGAUGGGAUCUCAUGGAUACAAAAAGUUAUGGCGGUGGAAUUAGGAUUUUGGCUCCGUAUCUGGUAGUUUGGGGGUACGUAGGUAUAUAUAGGGCGAAGGAGUACGUCGGUGGAGCAACAGGGGGCCCAUGAGGGUGNNNNNNNNNNNNNNNNNNNNNNNNNNNNNNNNNNNNNNNNNNNNNNNNNNNNNNNNNNNNNNNNNNNNNNNNNNNNNNNNNNNNNNNNNNNNNNNNNNNNNNNNNNNNNNNNNNNNNNNNNNNNNNNNNNNNNNNNNNNNNNNNNNNNNNNNNNNNNNNNNNNNNNNNNNNNNNNNNNNNNNGUAGGCGCGCCCCUACCUCGUGCCUUCCUCGUCGAUUGCUUGAUGUAGGGUCCAAGUCCUCUGGAUCAUGUUCAUUCCGAAAAUCACGUUCCCAAAGGUUUCAUUCCUUAAAUAGGCAAAAAACAGCAAUUCUGGGAUGGGCCUCUGGUUAAUAGGUUGGUCCCAAAAAUAAUAUAAAAGUGUAUAAUAAAGCCUAAUAAUGUCCAAAACAGAAUAUAAUAUAGCAUGGAGCAAUAAAAAAUUAUAGAUACGUUGGAGACGUAUCAACUAUCGACAUGGUGGUCCACGAUGCUGCUUAUGCUGCAUUGACACGUCUUCGUGGAGAGUAUUGGGAGUUGGACACCUCCCCUUUCAGGCACAUUGCUAUCGCAUGCGAUGUUGGUGCGGAAGGAUACUACACUGCUGCCUACUCCACUGUCACCCGAGAGCCCUUCUACCAUCAGAACCUGGUUCUGCAUGCUGAUGGGCUGGAUAGAGCUAACUGAGCUCUUCAGCAUGAGUUAUACACCACCCGUCAGCACCUGUACCGUGAUCUGACGUUGUUGCACCCCUCUGUCCGAUCUGGUGAUCUAUCGCAUUCUGUGAUCUACCCUACCAGGACUGUGAUGCCCCAGGGCGUCGGCUGGCCAGAUGUGGGAGGCUACUCUCCCACACUUGGUCCUCUUCUGCCACCUGCACGUUGGGUUCCGCACCAGAGUAUCCAUGGACCCCAGGCUACUCACGUGGAGGACAUCCCUUCGGGUCACUACCAGUUGUCAGGCUACACCUACCUCCACAAUUCUUCCUGGGACUGAUGUAGGCUUGCUUGUUAGUAUUGGAUGCAUUCACCGCGAGCCUACGUGCCGCCUAUGAUGUUCUUAGCCUAUGUACUGAACUCUGUGUACUGAACUCUAUGCAUGAUCCUUUUAUAAGAUAUGCCAACUACUAUGUAGUAUCUAUCUUGUUCCUUUCAUUAUGCAUGUUUCAUCAUGAAUGAUUCUUGUCCUUGCAAAUUUCUCAAUACUGAACUACUCCUGUUAUAUAUUAGCAGGAUGGUUAGACCAGGUGGUCGUGGUCGUGGUGGCCAUGCCCCACCACCGCCUGAGCACAUGGCUGGUAUGAUCCAACAGUUCGAGCUGAACCACCAAUUCAUGGAAAAUAUGAUGGCUCAGUUUCCUCGUCCCAAUAUGAACCAGCAGCCAGCCCAAGUGACUCUACAGGAUUUCAUGCGCCUCAACCCAACUGUGUACCGCAGCUGAACUCAGCCUCUGGAUGCUGAUGACUGGCUCUGUGACAUCACCUAUGAGAUGGAGUCUGCUGAUGUAGCCCCUGCUAGCUAUGUCACAUUUGCUUCCUUCUUCCUGAAAGGACCCGCUGCUUAAUGGUGGGAUAGCCACCGGCGUACUCUGCCGGUUGGAACAAUCAUUACCUGGCCAGACUUCCAAGCUGCUUUCUAUGCUCGCUUUAUUCCUCAGGGAGUCAUGGACCUGAAGAAGCGCGAGUUCCGCAACCUCACCCAGGGCAACAAAAUUGUCGAAGCUUAUCAGCGGGAGUUUCUGGAUUUAUCCCGCUAUGCUGAAGAAGACAUUGCAACUGCUGCAGGCAGACAGGAGAAGUUCCGUGAUGGCCUUCAAGCUGACAUCAAGCUCGUACUUCUAGUGCAUGACUUUGCUGAUUUCGCCACCUUAGUGAACAAGGCCAUCAAUGUUGAAACUGGUCUGCAGGAACACAAGAGUUCUCACAGGCGCAACCGUGACACGGGCUCAUCUUCGGGCCCGUCCUCGCAGUAGCGUAGGAUAUGGAUUCCCAGCAGCAUGUACCAGCCAACUGCACCUACUCCAAGGCAGUCCUAUGCUACGCCGCGUCUGCCUCCCCCACCAACUAGGCAGCCGAGACUUCCAACUCCACCACCCCGAGCUCCUAUUCCCACUCCCAAUAAUGGUCUGUGCUACAAGUGUGGCCAACCAGGUCACGUCACCAGGAACUGCCUUCAGAACAGAAUCAACUGGCCCUUCCCGCAGCUGGCCGUGGAAGCAACCGGCCUUGCAAUGACAAUGCCAGGUCUUAUGGUCGUGUUCAUGCCAACCACGUUGAUCUCAAUGAAGUUCUAGACCAGCCUGCUACCGUGAUGGGUACACUCCUCGUAAAUUCAGUACCAGCAUCUGUUUUAUUUGAUACAGGUGCAUCACAUUCAUUCAUGUCAGAAGAUUUUGCAUGCUUGCACGACAUUAAAUGUGAGGGCAUGAACACUUAGCUAUUAGUACACACUCCCGCGGGCCAAUGUCGGACCUCCAUGAUUUGCAACGACGUCCCCGUUGAAAUCGAAGGACUGGAAUUCCUUGUCUCUCCCACCGUAUUGAAGUCAUGUAGCAUUGAUCUCAUUCUGGGAAUGGAUUGAUUGAAAGCGCAUACUGCUUCUAUAGUUUGUGCCACUAAGACCGUCCAUCUGCUACACCCUUCUGAUGAAAUAAUUACCUACCAAGGUCAUCUAGUUUAGAACAUCGAGGCACGGCUUUAUGCCUUGAAUGCGUUGAACGCUGCACCACUCAAGGGCAUUGAAAACAUUCCCGUCGUUCAUGAAUUCCAAGAUGUCUUUCCGGAAGAACUUCCAGGGAUUCCCCCUGCUAGAGCUGUCGAAUUCAUCAUCGACUUGAAACCAGGCACCACCCCUAUAGCCAAACGACCCUACAAGAUGCCGCCGCAUGAACUCAUUGAGCUUAAGGAGGAAAUCGACAAAUCUCUUAGCAAAGGUUUCAUUCGCCCUAGUUGCUCUCCUUGGGGAGCACCUUCUCUCUUUGUUAAGAAGAAGGAUGGGACAAACCGAUUAGUCUAAGACUAUCGUCCUAUUAACCAAGCCACUAUUCAGAACAAAUAUCCCCUCCCUUGGAUCAAUGAUCUUUAUGAUCAACUAGCUAGUUCACCAGUGUUCUCCAAACUCGACUUGAGGUUGGGUUACCACCAGAUCCAUGUUCGUGAAGAGGAUAUCCCAAAGACCGCCUUCGUGACUUGGUAUGGAUCAUACGAGUACACCGUCAUGUCAUUCGGCUUAACGAAUGCUCCAGCCACUUUCUCUCGUCUGAUGAACUAUAUAUUCAUGGAUUAUCUCGACAAGUUCGUCGUGGUUUAUCUGGAUGAUAUCCUUGUAUUUUCCAAGAACAAAGAAGAACAUGCUGAACAUCUUCGUCUUGUGUUGGAAAAGCUUCGAGAGCAUCAACUCUAUGCUAAGUAUUCCAAGUGUGAAUUCUGGCUCCACGAAGUAACCUAUCUUGGGCAUGUCAUCUCCAAGGAUGGUAUUGCCGUCAACCCUGAACGAGUCCAGACUAUUCUCGAUUGGACUCCUCCGAAGAAUGUCAAGCAAGUCCGAAGUUUUCUCGGUCUCGCCAGCUAUUGCCGUCGAUUCAUCGAGAACUUCUCCAAGAUCGCUAGGCCUCUGACCAACCUGUUGCAUAAGGGCGUCAAGUUCCAAUGGACAAACAAGUGUUAGGAAAGCUUCCAGGCACUCAAAGACAAGUUGACUUCUGCCCCAGUGCUUGCUCCACCUGAUACUAAGAAGGACUUCGUCAUUUACUGCGAUGCUUCCCGUCAGGGAUUAGGCUGUGUCCUAAUGCAAGAGCGCAGAGUGAUUGCUUAUGCCUCUCGUUAACUGCGCCCUCACAAAGAAAACUACCCAGUUCACGACCUCGAGCUUUCUACUGUCAUUCAUGCACUAAAGCAGUGGCGACAUUACCUUCUCGGUAAUCGUUGCGAGAUCUUCACCGACCACCAAAGUCUGAAGUAUCUGUUUACUCAACCAGACUUGAACCUCCGUCAGCAAAGAUGGAUGGAGAUUGUGGCAGACUUUGACGUGGGCACAUCCUAUACCCCAGGCAAGGCUAAUGUAAUGGCUGAUGCCUUGAGCCGCAAGUCUUACUGCAACCACCUCCAGGUUCACAAAGUUCAGCCCUCGCAUAUCAAAGAAUUUAGAAAGCUGAACCUUCAUAUUGUUCCUCCUUGUGCACUCGCUCCCCCUCCCCCAGAGUUCCAAAAGAUGAAUCUUCGUGUUGUUACUAAGGGUUCUCUAAAUACCCUGGCUGUCGUACCAGAUCUCGUAGAUGGUAUAAAGACUAUUCAAGGUUAUGACUAUGAAGUACAGAAGGUUAAACGUCAUCUUGCAGAAGGAAAGCCCUCAUUCUUCACUAUCGCCGAUGAUGGCGCCUUGUACUUCAAAGGCCGCCUAGUGGUGCCAUGUUCGAGGAAAAACCUGGAUCAGACUAAAAAGGUUAUGAAAGAAGCUCAUGAUAUGCCUUUGUCUAUUCAUCCCGGUAGUACAAAGAUGUACCAAGACAUCGCAGAGAUUCUGGUGGUCUAAUAUGAAGCAAGACAUUACUCGUUAUGUUGCUGAGUGUGACGUUUGCCGUCGAAUCAAAGUUGAGCAUCAAAGGCUUGCUGGAACUCUGCAACCUAUCUCUAUUCCUGAAUGGAAAUGGGACCAUGUUGAAAAGGACUGCGUCACUGGAUUUCCCAAAUCGCAGAAAGGUAAUGAUGCUAUUCUUGUCGUCAUUGACCGGCUUUCUAAGGUUUCAAAAUUUCUGGCGGUCAAAGAAACAAUCACUACUAGUCAGCUUGCAACUCUCUACAUGUACAGAAUUGUUUCACUUCACGGUAUUCCACUGGUUAUGAGUUCAGACCGUGGCAGCUUAUUCACUUCAAGAUUUUGGGCAAGUUUCCAAGAAGCUAUGGGAACUCAUCUGUCAUCCAGUACUACGUUUCAUCCUCAGUCGCAAGGUCAAGUUGAACGUGUCAACCAAGUUCUCGAGGACAUGCUUCGAGCUUAUGUAAUUUCCUUCGGCAAGAAAUGGGAGGAAUCUCUUCCAUAUGCUGAGUUCUCUUAUAAUAAUAGCUAUCAAGCUAGUAUGAAGAUGCCCCCCUUUGAAGUAUUAUAUGGACGAAAGUGUCGGACCCCUUUGAACUGGUCAGAAACUGGGGAACGUCCACUCUUCGGUCCGGAUAUUAUCCAACAAGCCGAAGAACAAUUCCGCAUUAUUCACGAGAAUCUCAAGACUUCUCAGUCGCGUCAGAAGAGUCAGUAUGACCGUCAUCACAAAGACAUGGUCUAUCAACCUGGCGAAAAGGCUUAUCUUCGAGUUACACCAAUGAAGGGUGCCCACCGCUUCGGGAUCAAGGGCAAGCUAGCUCCUCGCUAUAUUGGCCCAUUCACUAUUCUCGGAAGGCAUGGAAAAGUGGCAUAUCAACUGGAGCUUCCGCCGAACCUUUCUCAGAUUCACGAUGUGUUCCACGUGUCACAGCUCCGCCGUUGCUUCAAGGAUCCAAUCCGAGCAGUGGUUCAUGAAGUGCUCGAAUUGCAACAGGACCUCUCCUAUAAAGAGUAUCCGGUCCGCAUUCUUGACCAAGCUGAACACCGCACACGUCGGAAGGCGAUCAAAUUCCUCAAAGUCCAGUGGUCACAUCACUCUGAAGAUGAAGCCACUUGGGAACGCGAGGAUCGCCUGCGUGAUGAAUACCCCACACCGUUUCCUUCUACCUCCUAAAUCUUGGGAGGAGAUUUCUUGUAGUGUAGGAGUUUUGUAAUGCCCGGGUAAUUAAGCUACAGUAAUCCCAUGCUAAUGGUGCCACGUCACCACGGUUACUGUUGUUAACCUUACGAUGAUUCGAAACCGUUUCAAAAUUCAAAUUCAAAUUAAUGUCAACGAUAAAAUUUUCAAACAUUGAAACAAAAAUGUUCGGUGGGUGCCAAAAAUUGCAAUGGUAAUUAUUGCGGAGAAAACCCAUUUUUAGAAGUUGCCUAAAUAUUUUAAAAUGAUUUAAAACAGAAAAGAAAAUAAAUAAAAACAAAAAACAAAACAAAAGAGAAAUGAAAAGGAAAUCCCCCAACCCCCUGGGCCACAUGGCCCAGCUAGCAACAGCUGGCCAGCCCAACUGGGCAAAGGCCAGCCGGUCCGGGCCCCCUGCCUCGUCCCCCUCCCCUGUUCCCCCGACCCGGUCGGAACAGGGGCGCGCUCCCGCCCAACCACCUCGCCGGCACGGCGCCAGGAGGAGAUAGGGCUGCCAUGCCCUCGCCCCCUUGAUCCCAUCUCCCACUCGCCCCCGCUCUCCCUCUCGGUCCCUGCGCCUCCCCUCCCCUCAGAUCCGCCUCGCUGCUUCUCCUUCCCCUUCGCAUCCGAGCGCCACCGCCGCCAUGGCUCCGGCCUGGCCGAGGCCACCAUGCCCACCUCGCCGCCCCACUGUGUCUCCAAGGGCCUCCAUCAUCCGCUGCUUCGACUGGUGCACCCCGUUGGAGAUGAGAGCCACUACAACGCCACGACGUCGCCGUCUUCCUCCUCUGCUCCGACGAGCUUCGCCGCCACUCUUCACGAACUCCGGCGACGCCUCUGCUGCUACUAAACCCCCCACGGGCCACCAUGUGUGCCGCUCGGUGAGCCCCCGCUUCCUCCCCUCUCUCUCGCGCGCGCCCUAGCUAGCUGUCACCGUCGCACCCGAACGCAGUGCCGCGGAGCUCGUCGCCGACGAGUCUCCGGUGACCAAAUGGUCACGGGCCAGCGCUCGUUGCACUCGACGCCUCACAUACGUCGCGUCUGGCCUCUCAGUUCGCUCGCUACCGCGCUGCAUCGCCAAUCCCUCUCGCGACCGAAUGCCGGUGUCCGCCACGCCGCUCGUCGCCGUCGCUACACUACCUCUCCGGCCACGGUUUCGAACCGUUCGACGCAGCGUUGUCUCUGCUUUCGAACGCCCCGAGCCCCGCGAUGAACCGUACCCCGUGGCCUCGCCUUCAAACUCACCGAGCAUCGGUGUCCGCCCGAUGUCGUCGCCGGCGACCAUUCCGGCCACGCCCGCCGUCAUGCUCCCCUCCAUCAGACGCGACGCGUAGAGGCCAUUCCAGAGAGCCUCGCCGCGCCCGUUUUGGGCCACCAUGGCGAAAUCCCGGGGCUCGCCGGCGCCCUUCACCGCAUUUCGGCUCGCCCGGGCAACUUCAGCGUCAGCGCUGACCUGGCCUAGGAGGGGCCCACCCCUGGGAUGCUGCCUGUGGGCCUAGGGGCCCCAACUGGCCACGUUAACCGAAGUCAACCACGCUGACAUGGCUCCUCUGUCUAUGACAUGCGGGCCCCACGCCAUAAACGAAUAAAAACAAAUAGAUAAAUUGCUAACUAAUUAAGUUAAUUAAUUAAAACAUUAGUCUCUCACUGACUGCUGGGCCCCACCCGCUAAUUAACCCAUUUAGUUAGCCUAAACCCCCUGUUAGUGCCCCUGAUAAUGACAUGUGGGUCCCCAUGGACCCACCUGUCUGGUUUGACUAGUCAACCGACCAGUUGACCUGCUGACAUCACUCUGGUGUCAUGCCCGCGUCAUCAUUCACUUUUCUGGAUAAUGUUGGAUUUAAAUAAAUGAUUAAAAUCAAAAAAUGAUUAAAACUUUAGAAAAUCAUAUAAAAUAAACCGUAGCUCAGAUGAAAAUGUUUUCUACAUGAAAGUUGCUCAGAACGACGAGACGAAUCAAGAUACGUAGCCCGUUCGUCCACCACGCGUCCCUAGCAUAGCGAACACGCAACUUUCCCCCUCCGAUUCAUUUGUCCAAAAACGCAAAACACCGGGGAUAGUUUCCCGGAUGUUUUCCCCCUUCACCGGUACCACCUCAUACCGCAUUAGGGCACCCCUACACUGCUACUUGUCAUGUCAUGCAUCGGUAUGCAUCUGUUUGCAUUGUAUUCAAUGUUUCUUCCUCCUCUUCUCUCCAGUAGACUACGAGGCUGACGCUGCUGUUGGUGCCCCGAUCGACUACGCUGUUGACGACCCCUCUUUCUUGCCAGAGCAACCAGGCAAGCCCCCCCUUAAUCACCAGAUAUCGCCUACUCUUCUCUCUACUUCUUGCAUUAGAGUAGUGUAACAUGUUACUGCUUUCCAUUAAUCAUAUUCUGAUGCAUAGCCUGUCAUUGUUGCUACAACUGUUGAUACCUUACCUGCAAUCCUAUGUGCUUAGUAUUGGAUGCUAGAUUAUCAUUAGUGGCCCUACAUUCUUGUCAGUUUGCCAUGCUAUACUAUCGGGCCGUGAUCACACCGGGUGUUGAUCAUGGGUAUAUACUGUACAUACAUACUAUACAUGUUGUGACUAAAGUCGGGUCGGCUCGUUGAGUACCCGCAAGUGAUUCCGAUGUUGGGGGCUGAAGGGCCAGGUGGUUCCACCCAGGUAGUGGUGGGCCUAGGUUCCCGAUGGCCACCGACUAUUACUUUGUGACGGAGUGAUAGGGCAGGCGGAGACCACCUAGGUGAGAGGUGGGCCUGGCCCUGGUCGGCGUUCGCGGUUACUUCAAAAUAACACACUUAACGAGAUCUGGGUAUUUUAUCUGAGUCUGGCUACUGGCCUAUACGCACUAACCAACUACGCGGGAACAGUUAUGGGCACUCGACGUCGUGGUAUCAGCCGAAGCCUUCGUGACGUCAGCGACUAAGCGGCGCGCACUGGGUUGGACCGCGUAACACAACUUCCUUUGUAAUGGAGGUUGCUAGGUCUGCUCUCCGGCCGCCCACGCAAUGUGCAGGUGUGCAACGGGCUAUGGGCCCAGACCCCUGUGCGCAUAGGAUAUAGACCGGCGUGCUGACCUCUCUGUUGUGCCUAGGUAGGGCUACGACGUGUUGAUCUUUUGAGGACGGGCAUGACCUAGAAAAGUGUGUCCGGACAAGGGGGCUCGAGCAUGUUGGGAAAUGUGGUGCACCCCUACAGGGAAGUUAAUCUAUUCGAAUAGCCGUGAUCUUCGGUAACAUGACGACUUGGAGUUGUACCUUGGCCUUAUGACAACUAGAACCGGAUACUUAAUAAAAUACACCCUUUCAAGUGCCAGAUACAACCCGGUGAUUGCUCUCUCACAGGGCGACGAGGGGAGGAUCAUCGGUUAGGAUUAUGCUAUGCGAUGCUACUUGGUGAACUUACCAUCUACUCUCUUCUUCGGCUACAAGAUGGAGGUUACCAGAAGCGUAGUCUUCGAUAGGACUAGCUAUCCCCCUCUUAUUCCGGCAUUCUGCAAUCCAGUCCACAUAUGAUACCCCUUUUCCAUUUUAUACCAAUGCAUACAUAUGUAGUGUAGCUCCUUGCUUGCGAGUACUUCGGAUGAGUACUCACGGUUGCUUUGCUCCCUCUUUUCCCCUUUCUAUACUCGAUUGCUGCGACCAGACGAUGAAGUCCAGGAGCCAGACGCCACCGUCGACGACGACUCCUACUACACUAGAGGUGCCUACUACUACGUGCAUGCCGCUGACGACGACCAGGAGUAGUUUUGGAGGAUCCCAGGCAGGAGGCCUGCGCCUCUUUCGAUCUGUAUCCCAGUUUGUGCUAGCCUUCUUAAGGCAAACUUGUUUAACUUAUGUCUGUACUUAGAUAUUGUUGCUUCCGCUGACUCGUCUAUGAUCGAGCUCUUGUAUUCGAGCCCUCGAGGCCCCUGGCUUGUAAUAUGAUGCUUGUAUGACUUAUUUUAUUUGUAGAGUUGUGUUGUGAUAUCUUCCCGUGAGUCCCUGAUCUUGAUCGUACAUGUUUGCGUGUAUGAUUAGUGUACGAUUGAAUCGGGGGCGUCACAGUAAUUUAGUAACAUGAAAAUUUCUACAACCAUAUUUUCCUCUCUCAUAAUAAUUAUAUGUAGGAUCAUAAGCAAAUUCAACAAUAUAGCUAUCACAAAACAUAUUCUUAACACGAUCCACAUGUAUGCAAAGUUGACACUCUUCCAAAAUAGUGGGAUUAAUAUUAACUAAAGUCAUGACCUCUCCAAACCCACUUUUAUGAAAAACUUCAUAAGAUUGAACAUUCUCCAAAUAUGUGGGAUCUAAAGUUGACACUCUUCCAAACUCACUUUCAAUAUUAUUGCAAACAUUAUUAUCAAUGUCAUAUUCAUCAUGGGGCUUAAAUAAAUUUUCAAGAUCAAAAGAAGAAUCACCUCAACCAUGAUCAUUGCAACAAAUAGUAGCCAUAGCAAAACUAGCAUCCCCAAGCUCGAGGUUUUGCAUAUCAUUAACACAAUUUACCUUAAGAGAAUUUAUGAUAACAUCAUUGCAAUCAUGCUUUUCAUCGAAGGAACUAUCAAGUAUGGGUGCAAUAGCAACGAUCUCAUGUUUAACAUAAGGAACUAUAGCAAAUUCAUCUUCAUAAAUAUUGGCAUCAUGGCCACAAGAAUAGCAAGCAUCAUGUUCAUCAAGGGAUAUUUCAAUCAAAUCAUCAGAAUCAUAAUUAUCUAUAGAUUCAUGCAUAUCAUUUUCUUCCGAAACAACGGCCAUUCUAUGAAUAAAUUCUUUGACAUAGACAUUAUGAGCAUAGUUUUCAUAGCAAUAUUUAAGUAUGUCAAAACUUUCAGAUUCGUAGAGUAAUAUCAUACUUUUCAAUAAAACAAGCAACUUCAUAAGCACCCUUAAAAGCAACAAAUUCUUCAAUUUGUUUGAUACUGUAGUAACUAUAAAUACCCUUUGCAUAAGAAGAUAAGAUUUCAUUGUCAUUAAACUCACAUAGAUAGGGGAGGUGUUUUUAGGGUUCUUAGAGCAACAAGUAAAAUCAUAAAUUUUACAAAGAUUCCAAGCAUAACACAACAAUCUAUUUAUUUGAUUCCAUAAGAGUCUCCCUUUUUCAGAAAAACGGUGACACACAAAAUGAGCAUGCUCAUCUAAAGAUUUCCCAUCAACUAGGCUAGCUGGGGUUUCAGCAUGAGCGCAUAAGGAUCGAAGAUGAUCCAAGUAGAACACUUUAAGUGGAUCCAUAUCAAUAGAUUUUUACCAAGCAAAGAUGCAAGCAAAUAAAAGGCACAUGGAAACAAAAACAAAGAUACAUAGGGGAGAAGGCAAAGAAAAGGCAAAGGUUUUCGAAAAUCAUUUUAGAAGUGGGGGAGAGGAAAACGAGAGGCAAAUGGCAAAUAAUGUAAUGCGAGGGAUAAGAGUUUGUGGUGGGUAUUUGGUAUGUCUUGACUUGUGCGUAGGCGACGCCAAAAAUGACUAGUUGCUGGUAGAUCAAGUCUUUGACUUGACUUGGUGCAACCUCCUCGACAACGAUGCCAGAAAUCCUUCUUGCUACCUCUUGAGCAUGCAUUGGUUUUCCCUUGAAGAGGAAAGGAUGAUGCAGCAAAGUAGAGUAAGUAUUUCCCUCGGUGUUUGAGAACGAAGGUAUCAAUCUAGUAGGAGGUAACACGCAAGUCACCUAGUAUCUGCACGAACAAACAAGAACCUCGCAACCAACGCGAUAAAGGGGUUGUCAAUCCCUUCAUGGACACUUACGAAAGUGAGAUAUGAUAGAGAUAAUAAGAUAAAUAUUUUUGGUAUUUUUAUGAUAUAGAUUGGAAAGUAAAGAUUGCAAAAUAAACUAUGAUAGAAAUAUCAAAUAGAUAUGAAAAUAAUAUGAUGAAAGAUAGACCCGGGGGUCAUAGGUUUCACUAGUGGCUUCUCUCAAGAUAGCAAAUUCUAUGGUGGGCGAACAAAUUACUGUCAAGCAAUUGAUAGAAAAGCGAAUAAUUAUGAGAAUAUCUAGGCAUGAUCAUGUAUAUAGGCAUCACAUCCGCGACAAGUAGACCGAAACGAUUCUGCAUCUACUACUAUUACUGCACACAUCGGCCGCUAUCCAGCAUGCAUCUAGAGUAUUAAGUUCAUAAAAACAAAGUAACACAUUAGACAAGAUGACAUGAUGUAGAGGGAUAAACUCAAGGAAUAUGAUAUAAACCCCAUCUUUUUAUCCUCGAUGGCAACAAUACAAUACGUGCCUUGCUUCCCCUGCUGUCACUGGGAAAAGACACCGCAAGAUUGAACCCAAAGUUAAGCACUUCUCCCAUUGCAAGAAAGAUCAAUCUAUGAUAGAUGGCAACAAUACAAUACGUGCCUUGCUGCCCCUUGCUGCCCAUAUUUCUUUUCACAUAGUUAUUCCACACUUAACUUGAUAAUUAAGUAGAUUAUAUUAAGAAAAUACAUCUCAAAUUUCUUCAACAAGAAUAACCACUCAAAUAUAUAUUUAUAUUCAUACACCUCAAACAGUACAGCUGUACAAGUGUAUUACAAAUCUUUGGAAAAAGAAAAUGGAGGGAGACUAAACUAUGCUAAUCUAUACAACAAUGCCAAACAAACUUAGACCAACCUAAAAAUAUCUCUGGGUCAACCAGAAUAGCAGGACACAUUUGAGACACACACUGACCACCACCCUCACGUGCACAAUAGAUUAAUAGUCAAUGGGUCAGCAAUAUAGUCUAUGUAUGGGCUUCAACCUUCAGCCAAUUAGAAGCUAGCACCUGUGAGAACAAUGGAGAAGGGGAUGGGCAGCCAUACCAGCCAAGGAAGAUGGUUUUCUGAUAUUAAAAGAAGAGACAGCAGAGCAAGCCAUUGCCAAGACUUCACACAUCUCCAUUUUUCCCCAAAUAGCCAAACCAGCAGCUUGUCUUCCUCCCACUGUCUUCAUCUUUCUAUCUGCAACCAACAAAGAUCCAAGAAAAAUAAGUAGAGAUGGUGAGCUGAGAAAUCAUAGUAGAUCGAAGGAGGAAGGCUAGAGCAAGAAGUUAGCCUACUGGACUGGGAUCUGGAAGUAGGAGCAGCACUAGUAGGAACAACAGAGAAGGCAAAAGAAGAAAGGUGAGUUCUUCUUCUUCUGUCAUUCCUUUAGCAGUCACACUCACAAAGAAGCCCAACCCAGAUGCACCCACAAUAUUCCUCACUAGUUCUUCACAAAUGCACACAAAAGCUAAAUCAUUCCAGUAGUAUCAUCUAUCACAGAUCUUAAAAUCAACAGUACAAGAAAUCAUGUAUAAUGCCUUAAUCAAGUAAAAUAAAAUGGAGCAAGAUAACGUACAACAUUAGUACACCAACAUCUUGCACAAUAGGAACUGAUUCAGUACACACACAUGCACAUGAGACUAAAUUAAUUUACCAAAUCUGAGAACUUGAGCAUAAAAAAGAAAGAAUUAGGGAGGGGACAAGGGCAUCACUAACCCGCACUUAUGCUCGAUCUGCUCCAUGGCCAUGCCUUUGAAUUCUUAUCUGCAACACCCAGCGGCACCGCAGACACCAACACCGACAGCUUCAAUCUGGAGCAGAUGAAUCACAGCACAACAAGAACCUAACCUCCAAGUCAAAUCUGAGAGGGGAUUAGAGAUUAGGGAUUUGGGAUCAGGGGAGAGAGAGAGAGGUCCGGCAGUGGCGGAGCAGCAUGUUCCCAUCGCUGGCGGCGUGGCCGAUCUGUCUAGGUUAGGAGCAGAGGAAUAGGAGGGAGAGAAGACAUGUGCGUGUGUUCUGUUCUUUUUUUUUUUGAACUGGUGUGUUCUGUUCUUGGUGGACUAGUAUUGGUGUGUGUUGUGUUCGAUGGAGGACUAGUAGAGGAGAGAGAGAGACUUGGAAAUUGAGAAAGGGAGAGGGCACGUGGAGGUUUCUAGUAGUGGUAAUUACCCAGGUGCACAUCUAAUAAUUGUCUAUUCUAAAUCCACCUACUAAAGCAAUCUUAGUAAAAAAGGAAAAAUAGGUAAUAAAAGAAAUAAUUAUGUCCGACUGUAAGAUGACCACACUGCACCGACGUAUAAUUUUAUUUCCCUCGUGUUCACUCGACUUAGUCUCGAAAUAUAUAUUUGCCGAACUGCAGGAAGCGAGUACAGCCCGGAGAAGGAGGCGCUACAGAAGCAAAUUGAGUCCGGAUCUGAGUACAAAAACUCAGGCAAGCUCUCCUUGAUCAGGCUGAGUAGAACUUUUUCUGAAGAAAAAAACACUAUUCUCUACUAUGUUAUCAUCAACUUGCAUAAAAUGGUUUGGUAAUAAAUUGUGUGGAGUGACUGUUGACAUAUAGUUGGGUUAGCUGAUGGAGCAGCUAAUCCAUUGAUUUAUUUAUUUUAUAAUUAUUCAGUGGGUAGAGGGCGCCCUAGAUGGACAUACGGGAAGGUGGGGCCCUCUACAUAUGGCUAGUAUAUUAAGAUUAAAUAACUUUCACUCAUUUUAUGUGCCAUACUACAACCGUAUCAACCAUGGUCUCAUCUAUGACGAGUUGAGCCCAACACCAUCAAGUUAUUAUACUCUUGACAUGGGUAAGUAGUAGUAGGAUGGGCGAUGAGUUCCCACGCUAAUGCCGGAUGAGUGCAUUAGCAAGCGCUAUAUAUUCAGCGUUGGUGGAGUGCGGGUUCCGAAACCCGACACAACAGCUAGUGACCACUAGCCGGGUGGAGAUAUAAUAUACAUAAUGGAAACAAGUUUUAUGUUCUGAACCAUGUCUCGCAUCUAAGGAAAUGCAGAUGGCAAUUAUGGUUUCGAGCUCUAUGGGUAAAGUGAUACAAACUCUGCAGAGUUAAAGUAAAACAUGAAUUCAUGCCAGUCUCUUGGAUUGGGGACUACGGGGACCUAAUGGUGGUCUAUCUCGCAAUACGAGUGUUUGAUAGUUUUUUAUAAAUUGAAAUAAACUUUCUGCAAAAAAUAUUUAUUUAUUUUACAGGAGUUGAGUUGAGGUAGGACUUGUUGAUUUAUAUUGAGCUAUCAUGAGUGUGCAUUUUUCUAUUUGAGAUUGCUGAGUACUUUGUACUCACUCUUGCUAUUAAUCGUCUCUUUCCUGGUGCAAAGCUUGUAUGAUAAUCCUACUGGACCAAGUGAGGAGAGCAAUGGUGAUGGAUACAACUACACAGGGGACAUAGAUGUGGAUCCAUCCAGUGCCAUGUACGAUCUGGAUGCUACAUAUGGGGGCUGGGAUGAAUAAGUAACUAUGAUCUAGCUAUGUAAUCCAAGAACUAUUUUAUCACAAUCAAAUCUUGGACCGCUAGUUGGAACUCCAGUUUUAGGACAUGUAAUAAUUUGAUGAACAUGUGAGAAGCCUACUUGAGACUUCAGCCCUGUGUGGCAUGGUAUUGUAAUAUAGAUGACCAUCUCUAGCUAUUCCUUGUUGCAAAUCUCUGACAUGAAUUAUUAUUUGAAAACACAAGAUUUUGUCAAGAAAUAAUCCAAGGACUAGUGCAUUAUCUAUAUUAAUAAUGACACGGGUCGUCACAGGUGGUAUCAGAGCAAUGGUUUCGAGGGCCACACAGAUAGUGAGAGAUGGUUGGAAUAGUUUAGUUGGAACCCAUACUUGCUAUAAUGCACCACUAAUUAAUUCCAUAUCAUAUUAUUCUAUCCAGUAACUUUAGAUGACUA